CAGGCUGGCACGGAGGGGUCCGGCACUAUAAGUAGUGCCCAUCUGUGGUGCGAUGUCUCAUGGUCUGCGGCUGGCACGGAGAUGGCGUCCGACCUGAGUAGUGGGAUGAUUGCCGAGAGAAUUCUCACAGUUCCAGGCUGGUUUCCAUUCAACACCCACAUUCCAAUGUGCGAAGAGUGUUUUCUACAAGAAGGCAGAUUCUUUGUUUGUCGCCUAUGAAAAUUCUCUUGGCUGAUGUUUCCUUAGGAAUGUCAUCAUACAGGCUCUGCUCAGAAUAGAAGCCACAAACAUAAUCAUCUGUCUUUCCCUGGAAUACAAGUCUGACUUCUACUCUGCUUUGUUUCAUUCAGAUUUUCCCAGCUUGCAAUGCGGACGAGACCUGACUCACUAGUCAGCUGAUGACAUGGAGUCUGUCUGCUUCAAUGGGUGGAAGGAUCGCUUGGAAGAGAAAUCAAUCUGCAACAGCUGUAGGCACCCUGAUUGAAAACCACACUGAUUUGAAUGGAUGCAGCUCAUUUAUGUUUCAAUGGGUGGGGUGGCUGAUGUGUGGGAGGGAGGAAGAUGGAAUUGUGGGAUUUGUAGUCAAAAAAAGAAAAGUCAAAAAGGAAAUACUAGUUCACAAAAAGCUAGCCACAGUGUUAUGGUAAUCUCACAACAUAGCCAUUUAGCCCCAAGACAA